AAACAACAGAGGUUUAUUUUCUCACAGUUGUGAAGGCUAGGUAUCAAGACCAAGGUGACAGCAUGCUUGGCUUCUUCUGAGGCCUGCACUUGGCUCAUAAAUGGCCACCUUCUUGCUGUGUCCUCACAUGGUCUUUCCUCUAUAUGUGCACAUCCCUACUGUCUGUGUGUCCAAGUCUCCUCUUACAAGGACACCUGACAGAUUGGAUUAGGACUCCAUCUAAUAGCCUCAUUUUAACUUAAUCACCUCUUAAAAGGCCUCAUCUCUAAAUACAGCCACAUUUUGAGGUACUUCAAUGUAUGUCCUUUUUGAGGGGUGGGGGGGUGUCACACCCAAAGCACAUGGAGGUUCCCAGGACAGGGGUCCAAUCGGAGCUGUAGCUGAGAGCCUACGCCACAGCAACAGCAAUGUGGGAUCCAAGCUGUGUCUGCCACCUACACCACAGCUCAUGGCAACGCUGAAUCCUUAACCCCCCGAGCAAGGCCAGGAAUCAAACCCAAGUCCUCAUGGAUAUUUGUCAGGUGAGGCAAAACAGGAACUCCAGGGCUUCCAAUACAUGAUUGUCAGGUGGAGGCGCACAAUUCAGCCUGUAACAGAAGUUAUAUUCUUUUUCCUGAAAACUUUGCAUAUAUAGCAUGUAUCUAUAACAACACUUUCUUGAUCUUAGCUUGGACCAAGUGUGUUAUCUCAUUUUUACAAAAUCAUACACUUGUGAGGUAGACAGAGCAGUUUGUAUUACCUCAUUAAUCACUUUAUUUUGGCAGCCCUAGCAAACUCAUACAACAUCUUUGGAGAACUACUAGUUCUCCGGUAUGGCUGGAGAGGAGGAGGUAAAGCUAUAGACAUAACAGGAGUCAGAUCACUUAGGACCUUGUGUGCCAUUCUAACUAGUUUAGAUUUCAUUCUGAGGGCAAUGUGGAGGUUUUAUUCAAAAAUGUGACAAGGUCAGGUCUGGAUUUAUAAAGAAUGUGAAAAAUGGCCUGGAACUGUUGUUGCUGGACCAGCAUCCUGGGAACAAGUUAGAAAUGCAACAUUUCAGGCUCCACCCCAGACUCAGAAAACUGCAGAUUAAGCCAGGCCUUCCAGGUGAUUCUGAUACAAGCUAAAAUUUGAAGACCAUUGGCCUACAGAACAAGGCUGGACCGGAGGCCCCACUUCCUCACAGGGUUUAUUUUGUUUUUUGUUUUUUUUAGGGCCACACCUGCAGCACACUGAGGUUCCCAGGCUACGGGUUGAAUAAGAGCUGUAGCCCCUGGCCUACACCACAGCCACAGCAACACCAGAUCCAAGCCACGUCUGCAACCUACACCACAGCUCACGGCAACGCCAGAUCCUUAACCCACUGAUGGAGUCCAGGGAUCAAACCUGUGUCCUCAUGGAUACUAGUCAAAUUCAUUUCCGCUGAGCAACGAUGGGAACUCCCUUCACAAGGUUUUAAGAGACUCAAGAUAAAAUACAUAGAAGUCUUCAGUAUUGUAAAUACAUAUAUAUAUAUAUAUAUAGCUAUAGCUCUAUCACUUCACAGGUUCCAGCUUCUUUCCCAAGCCUGGACAUUUAUAGUUUUGCAGAAUGGCCCGCUUGCUGACUUACUAUAACUUUGGAAUUUUUUUUGGUUUCUUUGGUUGCAUUCCGAAUAUGAAGUUCCCAGGCCAGGGAUCAAACCACAGCAGUGACCCAAGCUGCCAAAUCCUUGAAACACUGCACCACAAGAGAACUCCAUGUAACUCUGAAAUGACCCAAAAUCCAACACUUCAUUUUAACUUUAACUUCUACAAUCAUUAUGUAGAAAUGAUAUAAGAGGCUCUGGAGUAGAGAGAUUCAUAUUUGAAUUUCCAAAUCCUGACACUUAAUAGCUCUAUGAUUUUUUUCUAUUUCACUAAAAAUCUUCCAGUCUGUCGUUCUUAUAAGUGGAUUUAUCCACUUGUACAGAAUGCUCUGAGCAUUUAUAUCACCAGUUUUAAUAAGCUAGCUUUCUCUUUUGAAUUAUCUUCAAUUAGUUACCUAAGACUUAUGUACUAUGGAUGAACUGAGUCCUAACCAUGAGACCAACAGGGAACUCCUUUCCCCCCCUAAUUAUUCUGCAGUAGAUGAGCUGACAAAGCAGCCUUUGGAAAUGAAAACUGAAAGACAGAUUCUGAAUUCUGAUAAGUGAUUCCCUAAUUUCUCACACUAAUUCAAAAAGAAAAGUAGUUAUGAUUAUAAAAUCUUAUGUGUUGAAAUCUGGGAAAUAUUGUAGAAAUCUUGGAAAUUAUAGAAUAACAUUAAAAAAAAAAAACCCUAUCCCUACCACCUAGAGGAAGCUACUACAGACAUUUUGUUCUGUAUCCAUUUAGUCCACUGAAAUAACACAUAUCCGUACAUGUAUGUUUUUAUAGAACUGAGCUCUUACUCUUACAUGUUCUCUUUUUCUGUUUGUAUUUUACUUAAUCCUGUGUUGUAAAUAUUCUCAAGUAAAUGUCAAGAACAUGAUUUUUAUGACCAUGUAGUAGUUAUCAUCUGCUCUGAGGUAACAUCCUUAAAUUCACAACCAAGUCCUAUGCAAAACAGAAAUAAUGAAAAACCAAAAAUUCAGCUGUACAUUAAUAACAAUAAGAAUUCCCAAAAGGGAAAUAAAGCCAGCUAACCAAAUGUUUUGGAAGAGUUUUCUGACAAAGUAAUUGCAUCCUUUUUUUUUUUGUUUUUUUAAUCUGUAGCUUCACAUAGAAAUAUCUUUCCACUAUUUCCCAAAAUUUUAGGUAUCAGGACCACAACUUUCUUUUUUUGGCUGCUUUGCAGCAUAUAGAGUUAUUGGGCCAAGGAUCAGAUCUGAGCCAGUUGCCACCUAAGCCACAGCUGAAACACCAGAUCCUUUAACAUACCAGGUCUGCCUGGGGAUCAAACCUACGUCCUGGAGCUGUAGGGACACCAGUAAUCCCAUUGUGCCACAGCAGGAACUCCAGAACUGUAACAUUUUAAAGAUUUUUUUGAAGCCUAAUACUUGUUUCAACAUAAAAUACCAUUUAAAAAAAAAUUUUUUUUUUUUUUUUAGCUUUUUUAGGGCCACACCCUCGGCAUAACGAAAUUCCCAGGCUAGGGGUUGAACUGGAGCUGCAGCUGUUGGCCUGUACCACAGUCACAGCAAUGCUAAAUCUGAGCCACGUCUGCAACCUACACCACAGCACACAGCAAUGCAGGAUCCUUACUCCCCUGAGCAGGGCCAGGGAUCAAACUUGCAUCAAGGACACUAUCCUUGAGGAGAGAGGGCUGAGAUUCUGAGUACAACUGGUGGAAUUCACUCUGAUAGGACAUCUCUGCAACUUAAACAAGAAAGAUGCAAGAAAAAAUGAGUGCAGAUUUGACCAUCUGAAUUUGAGGCAUUUCCCUCAGAUGGUUUCUAUUUUGUCAAGUUUGAGGCAAGGGCACUAGCUGAAAAUGAGGGAUUUGAGGAGAUACGUGAAGGUAUGAAUGGUUAAUCCAGAGAAUGAAAGCUUUGUCAGCCAGUGUUGAGUGCUCCUGUGAGGUCUGAGGUCAUGAAUUAAAAACAGGUGUUGUAUGAUUUUUUCGCUAGCAAUCUUAGUUAACUGGGUACAAGCAAUGAGAAAGCUUGUUCCAGCAAGGGUCAGUUCAGUCAAGAUUAAGGUACUUCCUAGCAAGAAGGAUAGUUAUUGGGGUAAAAGAUUUGAAAAUGUUUGCAAAAGAGUGAUUACAAAGAUUGAUUGGGGAAUCUAAGUUAAGUGAGUUGGAAUGAGUAUGAUAGUGGAAGCAGGAUAAUGAUUUUUUCUUAAUUGUUGGAGGUUAAUGGAUCGGAGGUCAAUGAGAAUAUGAUAAAUGAGCUGAGGGGUAGAGGCUAGUGAUUGACAUUUGGGAUGCUUGGAGUGAGAGAAGGUAAAAGUUAUUGUUGACAAGGUUCAGAGUCUUACCACUGGAGGGGAUGAGUGAAAUGGAACAGAGGAACAAGCUGUUGGAGAUGAAGAGGUCAAGACCGAAGAGGUCCAGUGUUGGUGUUACAUGGGUCAUCUAGGAGAGUGCUGAACUCCCACAGAAUAUAAACAACCUAGUGUGGGGAACAAUAGUCUACUUUCUGAGGAAGAGUGGUCAGGGGGUUGAUAAAUUACAGCAAUAAAGAUAAUAAAGGGUGAUUUAGAGUUCCCACUGUGGCUCAGUGGUUAAUGAACUCAACUCAUAUCCAUGAGGACUUGGGUUCCAUCCCUGGCCUCGCUCAGUGGGUUAAGGAUCCAUCGUUGCCGUGAGCUGUGGUGUAGGUCAUAGCCUCGGCUUGGAUCCUGCGUUGCUGUGGCUGUGGCGCAGGCCAGCAGCUACAGCUCUGAUUUGAUCCCUAGCUUAGGAACUUCCAUAUGCUGCAAGUGUGGC
rnacentral:lncRNA from 1 species